ACAAGGUUUGGUCCUAGCCUCAGUAUUAUUUUCAACUAAACUUACACAUGCGAGUUUCCGCAUCCCAGUGAGAUUGCCCCUACUCAUCCUUUAAGAAAUCAGGGAGCAGGUAUCAGGCACGCCUUCAUCAGCCCAAGACACCUUGCUUAGCCACACCCCCAAGGGACUUCAGCAGUGAUUAAUAUUAAAUAAUAAACGAAAGUUUGAUCUAGUUAAAGUUAUCAGAGCCGGCCAACCUCGUGCCAGCCGCCGCGGUUAUACGAGAGGCCCAAAUUAAUGAAACAACGGCGUAAAGAGUGUAUAAGAAAAACCUUACCCUAUUUAAAGCUAAAAAAGUGCUUAACUGUUAUACGUGCCCGCACCAAUGAAAAACAAUUACGAAAGAAACUUUAUAAAAAUCAAGGCCUCUUAAAACACGAUAGCUAAAAACCAAACUGGGAUUAGAUACCCCACUAUGUUUAGCCCUAAACCUAGGUGUUUAAAUACCCAAACACCCGCCAGAGAACUACAAGCGCCAGCUUGAAACCCAAAGGACUUGGCGGUGCCUUAGAUCCCCCUAGAGGAGCCUGUUCUAGAACCGAUAAUCCCCGUUUAACCUCACCACCCCUUGCUCUUUCAGCCUAUAUACCGCCGUCGCCAGCUUGCCCCAUGAGGGAAAAACAGCAAGCACAAAGGAUUAAACUCCAAAACGUCAGGUCGAGGUGUAGCAUACGGGAUGGGAAGAAAUGAGCUACAUUUUCUAUCAAGACUAACAGAUAAAUAAUGAAAUUAAACUUGAAGUUGGAUUUAGUAGUAAGAUAUAAAUAGUAUAUUAAUCUGAAAAUGGCUCUGAGGCGCGCACACACCGCCCGUCACUCUCCUCAACAAGAUAAUUAAAUUUAUAAUAAAAAAACUUCCUAACAAGAGGAGGCAAGUCGUAACAUGGUAAGCGUACUGGAAAGUGCGCUUGGAAUCAU
rnacentral:ncRNA from 1 species